rnacentral:rRNA from 1 species
CGGCACGGGUGCGUAACGCGUAUGCAACCUACCAUCAACAGGGGGAUAACACUGAGAAAUUGGUACUAAUACCCCAUAAUAUCUCAUGCGGCAUCGCAUGGGGUUGAAAACUCCGGUGGUUGAUGAUGGGCAUGCGUUGUAUUAGCUGGUUGGUGAGGUAACGGCUCACCAAGGCGACGAUACAUAGGGGGACUGAGAGGUUAACCCCCCACAUUGGUACUGAGACACGGACCAAACUCCUACGGAAGGCAGCAG